rnacentral:rRNA from 1 species
AUGGACGCCUCCGCCGGCUCGUCGCCGCCGCGGCACUCGCAGGGGGACGCGCCGAGGCGCGGCGGGCCCCGCCGCGGGAAGGGCCCCGCGGUGGAGAUCCGGCAGGGAGAGGACGACUUCAUGUUCGCGCAGGAUACCUUCCCGGUCCUCCCGGACUUCCCUUGCCUCUCCUCGCCGUCGAGCUCCACCUUCUCCUCGUCCUCCUCCUCCAACUCCUCCAGCGCCUUCGCUGCCCCAGCGGGAGCGGGCGGGCGUGGGGGCGAGGGAGCGCGCGGCGAGCCGUCCGAGCCUGCAGCGGCCGGGGACGGGAUGGACGACCUCUCCGACAUCGACCACCUGCUCGACUUCGCGUCCAUCAACGACGACGUCCCUUGGGACGACGAGCCGCUCUUCCCCGACGUCGGGAUGAUGCUGGAGGAUGUCAUCUCCGAGCAGCAGAACCAGCAGCCUCCGGCGGGCCACGGCGCGGGCGGGAGAAUGGCGUCGCAUGCGGCCGCUGGUGGAGGAGAUGAUGCCUUCAUGGGUGGCGGCGGCGGGGGGAGCGCGGCGGACGACCUGCCGCUGUUCUUCAUGGAGUGGCUCAAGAACAACCGCGACUGCAUCUCGGCCGAGGACCUCCGCAGCAUCCGCCUCCGUCGAUCCACCAUCGAGGCCGCGGCCGCGCGCCUCGGUGGGGGGCGCCAGGGCACCAUGCAGCUGCUCAAGCUCAUCCUCACCUGGGUGCAGAACCACCACCUGCAGAAGAAGCGCCCCCGCGUCGGCGCCAUGGAUCAGGAGGCGCCGCCGGCAGGAGGCCAGCUCCCCAGCCCCGGCGCAAACCCCGGCUACGAAUUCCCCGCGGAGACGGGUGCCGCCGCUAACACAUCUUGGAUGCCCUACCAGGCCUUCUCGCCAACUGGAUCCUACGGCGGCGAGGCGAUCUACCCGUUCCAGCAGGGCUGCAGCACGAGCAGCGUGGCCGUGAGCAGCCAGCCGUUCUCCCCGCCGGCGGCGCCCGACAUGCACGCCGGGGCCUGGCCGCUUCAGUACGCGGCGUUCGUCCCAGCUGGGGCCACAUCCGCAGGCACUCAAACAUACCCGAUGCCGCCGCCGGGGGCCGUGCCGCAGCCGUUCGCGGCCCCCGGAUUCGCCGGGCAGUUCCCGCAGCGGAUGGAACCGGCGGCGACCAGGGAGGCCCGGAAGAAGAGGAUGGCGAGGCAGCGGCGCCUGUCGUGCCUGCAGCAGCAGCGGAGCCAGCAGCUGAAUCUGAGCCAGAUCCAAAGCGGCGGCUUCCCUCAAGAACCAUCCCCCCGCGCGGCGCACUCGGCGCCGGUCACGCCGCCCUCUUCCGGCUGGGGAGGCCUCUGGUCGCAGCAUGCCGUCCAGGGCCAGCCCCAUGGCCAGCUCAUGGUCCAGGUUCCGAAUCCGCUGUCGACGAAGUCCAAUUCCUCGAGGCAGAAGCAGCAAAAACCCUCGCCGGAUGCAGCAGCGAGGCCGCCCUCCGGCGGCGCCGCCACGCAGCAGCGCCCGGGGCAGGCGGCGGCUUCCGACAAGCAGCGGCAGCAGGGUGCGAGGACGCCGGCGGCGGCGCCGGCGGCAGGAGACAAGAACCUGCGGUUCCUGCUGCAGAAGGUGCUCAAGCAGAGCGACGUCGGAACCCUCGGCCGCAUCGUGCUCCCCAAAAAGGAAGCGGAGACUCACCUGCCGGAGCUCAAGACGGGGGACGGCAUCUCGAUCCCCAUUGAGGACAUCGGCACAUCUCAGGUGUGGAGCAUGCGGUACCGAUUUUGGCCCAACAACAAGAGCAGAAUGUAUCUUCUGGAGAACACUGGAGACUUUGUUCGGUCGAAUGAGCUGCAGGAGGGUGAUUUCAUCGUGCUUUACUCUGAUGUCAAGUCGGGCAAAUAUCUGAUACGCGGCGUGAAGGUAAGAGCGCAACAGGAUCUAGCCAAGCACAAGAAUGGCAGUCCAGAGAAAGGUGGGGCGUCCGACGCGAAGGCGGGCGCAGAAGACGGUGGUUGCAAAGAGAAGUCUCCGCACGGUGUCCGGCGAUCUCGCCAGGAGGCCGCCUCCAUGAACCAGAUGGCCGUGAGCAUCUGA